rnacentral:rRNA from 1 species
GUCUUUAAGAUUAUAAUUUAAAGUCUAAUCUGCUCAAUGAAUAUUAAAUGGCCGCGGUAAUUUGACCGUGCAAAGGUAGCAUAAUCAAUAGUUUUUUAAUUGAAAGCUGGAAUGAAAGAUUGAAUAAGAUAUUAGCUGUCUUAAAUUUAUUAAUAUAAUUUUUUUUAUUAAUAAAAAAAUUAAUAUGAAUUUAAAAGACGAGAAGACCCUAUAGAUUUUUAUUUAAUAAAUUUAAUAUGAUAAUAUAUUUUAAAAAUAUUAUUAAAUUUGUUAAAUUUGAUUGGGGAGAUUAAUAAAUUUAAUUAACUUUAUAAAUUUUUAACAUAAAUUAAUGGUUAUUAGAUCUUAAAUUUUAGAUUAAGAGGUUAAAAUACCUUAGGGAUAACAGCGUAAUUUUAUUAAAUAGAUCAUAUUGAUAAUAGGGAUUGC